CAGCAUGUUAAUGUAACAUUCAACUAAUAUCAUGUUCUUAAGUUAAGGAGCCUAAAAACCUAACACACCUAAAAAAGCAGCUCGUUGAAAUGAGUGACAACAUCUUAAUUAUCGUUGUUCAGCCAUGUAAAAGCUUCAUGAUUGUGAUUUAAGCCAGUUCAUCGUCUCUGUAACACAUUUAUAAGUAACAGAGAUAGUUUUCCUUUUUAAAAAAUUUUUUUUUGUUUAAACCUGGACUUGAUUUUCCUAAUAGACAUAACAUUUAUGAGAUUUUAUUGACAAUGUUUAGUUAAGAAAUGACAGCCAUCUUUGAAAGAUUUUUUAAAGUCAUGCAUUCAUAGGUCAAAUAUUACAUCAGCUAGGUGAACUUGUUUGUGUUUCACAUCAUGCAGACGGAGUAGACAACUCACAAGGAUAAAGACAGGCUCACGUCGCCUGAGAGAGCACCAAACAGAGGUAAUACAAGUUGUGAUACAAUACUAAGAUUGCAAUACUCUUAUCUAUUUUUGAUGAAACAUGGAGGAUCUGGUAAGAAUAGCAGGGAUUUUGAAUGCCCUAAUCUGAGCUGCAACUUACAUCACAAAUCAAAUCAAAUUUUAUUUGUAUAGCCCAGAUUCACAAAACACAUUUUGCCUCGGUGGGCUUUAAUCUGUACAGGGAGUGACACCCUCUGUCCUUCGAGUGAGGAAAAACUUGCCUCUGCAAAGAUAUGGCUAUGCAAUAUGUAAUUUAUAUAUUUAUAUUCAUUGAAUUUACAGUACUGUUAACUGGAUUAGAAAUUACCUAUUAAGGCAUACACGUUUUUUUGUCAUAUUGCACAGCCCUAAUAUAAUGUGAUUUACUCUUUUUAAAACUCCCUUGCAUCUUUUAAUUUUCAAUAAUAAAAAAUAUGUGGGAAGGAGUUGAGUGCUCUGGUUCUGCAGCUCUUAGUUAAACUCAUUUUGUUGAAAAUUGUAGUAAAUGUGUCCUGUCUUUGUUGUCUUUGAGGCCUUACCACUGUCAGGACUUCCAGCAGAGACGCAGCUACCUCUACCAAGAUCUUGGUAAGGGUCAAACACUGCUUUUAACUUGUUCCAUAUGACAACCCUCCUAAUGGUCAAUUCCAUCCUGUUAUUACCAGUUAGUUACUAUAUAGGGUCACUUGGAAAGUCAUGAUAGUAAGUGUGCAGCUGCAGUGAGAUAGCACAACUAGAUUUAAAUGUUUGAAACUAAAUAAUUCAACAGCUGUGUGAAAACUAGACUAUCCACAAACUUAAAAUGGCAUGUGGCAAACCACUGUGUACCUGUGUGCAGCCCCUCAUUUGUUACUGCAUUUGGAACAAUAAUCAUGUUUCUAACAACCUUGAUAUCUGAUUGUAUGCAGCGCUUUAACAUUUUCAUAAUGUGCAGGUUUAUGUCAAAGUGAGUUAUGGUUUUAGCAAAGUUAUUCCAACAUACAGAAACAGAAGCACUAUCAAAAAUGGUCGCAACUGUACAUUCACCACAGUGUUGUUAUUAGACUGUUAGACUGUUCUUAGGUCAUGUUCACACCAGCCUUGUUUUGUCUGGUUGAACUGAACCUUGGAGCGUUUGCCCCGUUGGUGUGGUUCAUUUGGGAUGGUAUGAACGCCGGCCUCGAACUCUGGUGCAGACCAAACAACCACUCUCCGGUCCACCUUGUAGGGGGAGGGGGGUAUUCCUUCUUUUAACAGCAUCCUCGAGCUCUAAGAAAAGACGUCAGCCUGUUGAUGCUGACAGCGAUGACCCUCAAACAGGUAUUUAACACACUACAUGUUGUCCUUAUCACAAGUUAUGAAAUGUUUUCUCUCAAUAGUGAUAACACUUGUCUUACUAUAGAUGGCUUUCAUUCAGACAAUGAAGGUGUGUUGACAGGUAACUGACAUAUUUUGUAUUAACAAUAAUAAUAAUACUAAUAAUAGUAAUCACCAUCAUUCAUUAUUUCGCAGGAUCCUCAAGACAUAAGAGAAAACAGAAACCUGGUGAGACUGACGGUGAUGACGGUGACUCUAAACGAGAAACCUCAAAGAAGAGGAGCUGGUCAGUUGGUGAAGUCCGGGCAGUGGAAAAGACACUUAAAGGUUUCAUCGAAUCUGGUAAAGUACCAGGAAAAUCGGACUGCAAUGCCUGCAUUAAGGCUUCAGCAGAGGCACUGAAAAAUAGAAGCUGGACUGCGGUAAAGUUCUACGUUAAAAACCGGGUCACUGCCAUUCAGCGUGAAAGUGCAAAAAUAAUUUAUUGAAAAACAAAGAGCACUUGAAUGUUUUGUUACGCACAUUCUAUGAUUGUGCAUGUUUUGAUGAUCCAUGUGUUGGUGUGAAUGCGUUCUUGUUCAUGUAAGUACUUGAAACAUUGCGCACUAGUUAUUGUACAGUUCAACUGGCCAUAUACCUACCUGUACACACCAAGUGGAGGAUAAGUGACCAGAUGUUGGCUGUCACUAUGGUUACGUGUGAGUAAUAAAAUCUUGUAAGAUUAACUUCAGAAAGCCUGUCUUGUGUGAGAUAACAUUUACUUAAAGUAAAGUAGAGCUGCUGUUUUUUUCACUUCUGUCAGUAUUGAUUAUUGAAGGCCAGAAUUAGCUUUUCUCUGCCUCUGUGAGGCUUAUAGACAUGAUGUGGGUGGGUGUGGGGGUUGGAGGACCAGUGGGGACCAAUGACUGGUCCCCAUUGGAGCCAAAAUUCAGGUUUAAAAUUUAUGUGAGAGUUUUGGAUGCUUUAAGUCAUUUUCAUCCUCACAUGAAUUUUAAAAAAAUUUAGCAGUUAAAACCAAGUCUCUAGACCACUCAGAAAGGGUGGAUCCCACCAGGACCCUUCCAGUCAGUGGACCUCACAGGGUAAUAAAAACGGGUAUGUGUGUGUGUGUGUGUGUGUGUAUUAUAGUGUGUGUGUGUGUGUGUGUGUAUUAUAGUGUGUGUGUGUGUGUAUUAUAGUGUGUGUGUGUGUGUGUGUGUGUAUUAUAGUGUGUGUGUGUGUAUUAUAGUGUGUGCGUGUGUGUGUGUGUGUGUGUGUAUUAUUGUGUGUGUAUUAUAGUGUGUGUGUGUGUGUGUGUAUUAUAGUGUGUGUAUUAUAGUGUGUGUGUGUAUUAUAGUGUGUGUGUGUGUAUUAUAGUGUGUGUGUAUUAUAGUGUGUGUUAUAGUGUGUGUGUAUUAUAGUGUGUGUGUGUGUGUAUUAUAGUGUGUGUGUAUUAUAGUGUGUGUGUGUGUGUAUUAUAGUGUGUGUGUGUAUUAUAGUGUGUGUGUAUUAUAGUGUGUGUGUGUGUGUGUGUGUAUUAUAGUGUAGGGGUUACACUACUUUUUCAUUAUUAUUAGUAAUUAAUCACUGGUGUGUGUGUGUGUGUGUGUGUGUGUGUGUGUGUGUGUGUGUGUGUGUGUGUGUGAUUAUAGUGUGUGUGUAUUAUAGUGUGUGUGUGUAUUAUAGUGUGUGUGUGUGUGUGUGUGUGUAUUAUAGUGUGUGUGUGUAUUAUAGUGUGUGUGUAUUAUAGUGUGUGUGUAUUCAUCGAUUUCCCCUCAUCAAAUCAAACCUGCACCAACAAGGACAUACGGUUAUAUAUGUUUAUUAACUAAACUAAUGCAGAGUAAAUAGCAUGAAAUGAUAAACAAACAAACAACAACAAGUAACAGAAUAGGUGGACAAUAUAUGAAUUAUUACUAUUAGGUGAUUCAGGAGCGAUGGUGGAUUUUGCGAUGCAGCAGUAAGUUUAAAAUAUUACGAGAGUAAAUUUUAGAACUGAGAGGCCCUGAUCCAAAAUUCUCUUAAACUUAAAAGAUGGGAAUCAAAGCUUACAGACAGACACCAGCUCUUCUUCAUGUGUGUGAAUCCGGCCGUGUACCGGAGAGUCAGCCUACUUUGUUUGUAGAUGGAACUUGGAAGGAUUCCAGGUCCUUGGCUUUCAGCUCAACUGCGGCUUUGCGUCACUGGUCCAAUAGGAUGAGGGAAGUUGCUUCUCGUCCCUGGUUCCAGUGGCAAUCUCUCCAAAAGGCCCAGCGCGGCGUGUGCGCUAGUGAGCGUUGGGGGCAAGGUGGCUGGAGAAUAAUGUCUUUAUUCGGCUGGAAACGUUUAUACGUCUUCUUGAGCAGUCAACUACUGCGACGUCCUUCUGGCUGAUGAUAAAUGUCUUAGAGUGGUUGGUCUUCAGCUUUGAUUGUAAACUAAUUCAGCUUCUUGUUUGAAAUAACUGGAGGAUGAAACGCUGGCCUGGAGAAUUCUCCAAGAAAGUCCAAGAAUUUGAUUAAAUUCACUUUCUGUGAAAAGGCGACAAUACUUGACGAUAAGACUACAAAAAUAUAAAAGAAGAAAUUCGUUUGUGUCUUGAGCUUUCAAAAUAAAAGCACUUAGGAAAGUACUUCAGCACAGCAAGUUAUUACUUGAGGAAAAAUUAACAAACGAAGUAAAAUAAAGUACGGAAAUUAAAGAAAAAGCGAGAAUAAAUAACGAGUUGAUACAAGAGAGAGAAGAAAAGCGAGAGAGAAGAGAAGAGUGAAGAGUGACCGGAGUCUAUCUCUUAUAGCUUUUAUUCUUGAGGCGGAACUGGACGAGAGGAGCUGACCGCGCGUCACUUCCUCUGGUGAUAAUUUGAUAUACGUAACUUUAUCAACUUACUCCUAUCGUGUUUUAAAGUUUCGAGAUCAUAAUUCACCGUUCACAGAACCCACCAUGACUUAAUACAUAGUUCACAUGUUUUAACAUCACAUAACCGGAAUUACUUAAUGUAAAGGAAAAGUGGAACUGAUUAAAGUCAUUAAAUCAUUAAUCAUUAAACACGCACAUAAAACAGCACUGAUGGACUGUACAUAUUUCGUAUAGUGCUAGCUUAAUCCUUGUUAUAACAAAUAUGUGUCAGGCAUUUACUUAUUGUAUUACUAUACAGUUAUCAAACAAAGUUCGUUUUGAAAGUACCUUACGCUAUACCAGAACCUCACCAAAGGGUGGCGCUGUGGCGCUGUGGCUCCAUCAAACAUUCAGACAUUUUACACAUGAUUUUGUAACUUAGUCCAAUCUGAUGACAGAAACAUCAGACAAACAUUACAUUUGCGUCCUUCUCAUGCUGGAUGGCAAUCUGUUAAUUAGGAGGAGAUGAAAUUUUACCAUAAUACUCCAACAGAACUAAAUCUAUAUCUGUGCAACUGCUGUUACUGCUUCCUAGAUUGGAAUGUCAACUAUCAAAAGAAAACAUCGUAAUUUACACUUUAGAGGAAGGGGUGUCAGAAUGCCAGAUGUGGAUUCCAGAGGAGUUUCUCUCUGGAGGUGGACCUGUCAGACUAAAAGAGAUGUAAACACAUUUCAGGGAUAUCUAACCCUGAUUUACAAUCAAAAAGGCAUUUAUGUUAUCACACACGAUCCACUUUAGGUGUAGGGUGUCGUUCUGAUCUGUGGAGAAGUCAGUGUUCUGUUAAAGAGGAUAAAACAUAUUGACACCUUAGAGAUCCCAUCUGAGAAUCUGAAAAGAACCAGGCUCUCUGUGCAGGAGACUGUCGGCGCCACAGUCUCACCUCCCCUCCUGGGUCAAAAAGGUCAAAGGGAAAGAGGAGGCCUUGAAAACUCUCCUGGUGGAACAAAAUCAAAAUAAUAUGAUGAUUGUUGAAUUAAGAGACAGAUAAAGCGUCUCUUGUAGAGGAAGACGAGGACAAGGUCCUACAAUAGUGUGUGCGUGUGUGUGUGUGUGUAUUAUAGUGUGUGUCUUAUAGUGUGUGUGUAUUAGUGUGUGUGUGUGUGUGUGUGUGUGUGUGUAUUAUAGUGUGUGUGUAUUAGUGUGUGUGUGUGUGUGUGUAUUAUAGUGUGUGUGUGUGUGUGUGUGUGUGUGUGUAUUAUAGUGUGUGUGUGUAUUAUAGUGUGUGUGUGUGUGUGUGUGUGUGUGUGUGUGUGUGUGUGAUUAUAGUGUGUGUGUAUUAUAGUGUGUGUGUGUGUGUAUUAUAGUGUGUGUGUAUCAUAGUGCAGUGGCUCCCAGCCUGGGGUCAGAGAUCAUAGGGGGAGGUUGUGAGGUUACCAAAGUUAUUAUUUAAAAGAAUUAAAUUUAUAAAAUCCCAAUAACACACCCAAUUGGAUAAUCAAACUCUGUAUAAUCCAAAUAGAAACAUAUUUUUGGUCCACAUUUAAAUUCAUUAAGCUAUUUAUUACCUGUUUAGUGUGUGUAUGCGAGUAGGGCAGGGGCGUCGCACCAGUGGGGGGUGUGGUUGUUUUAACACAAACACUUUUUCUGCAGUUCUUCUGCAGUUUUGCACAAACACCGUGGUACAGUCGCUCCGUUUCUCUGGCCGCUCUGUGUCUGCGCUCGCUGCCAUCUUGUUGAGUGUGACCAGCUGAUGAUUGGCUGUUCUGCCUUAAGUCCCGCCUCUCUUGGUGUGUUAGAUUUAUCGUUCAGCUCGUGCUGAGGAGGCGGGAACUAGCUAGGUUCAUAGUUCACACCGUUGAUUUAUUAGUCAUGUUUGUUUUAAGUCCAUUUUUAUUUCCUGUUAGUUUGUAGAUGUGUUUAUUAUUUUAUACUGAGUGUGUUUUCAUACUUUUCUAGUAUCACUCAUUGAAAUGGGAAGCUUUUUAUAUCUUGUAUUUUAUCAUGUUUUUACCCUUCUGUCAUUGUAUUCGUUUUAUUGUUUGGUCUAAAAAUAUGAAAACAUAUGUGAUGAGUUUAUAUAAAUGAAUUCAAAUAAAAACAUGUAAUAACAUAA